UUGUUCUUUUCAUGCAUAAUAAAUAUAAUAUAAAUAUAUAAAAUAUGGAUAUAAAAAAUAUAAAAAUAUAUACGCUCUCUUGCCUCGAUCGUCUCGUUCGACGAUCAUUCGGCAAUCGCGAUCGAUCUUUCUUCCGAGGGAUCUCGGAUUUGGGUCGCGAAAAAAGGAGUGCGUCCAAACGCGGUUCUAUACUUAAACGAAAUGCGUGUCGUGCGUACAUCUACCUCGUUAAUUCUUGAUACGUGUAAAUGAUUGUCCGUGAUUGUCCGUGAUUGCAGAAUAAUCACACUUCAACAUCUCUCCACCGUGAGUUUCUCCGUUUUGUAUGCCUAUUUCAAAGUACGCGAGAAAAGGGGGUUGGAAGGGAGAGAGGCAGGUGGAGGCCUGUCUCCUAGAACCGCCUUGUAUUACUUUCUCAAGCGUAUAUAUAUAUGUGUAACGGGGUGUGCUUAACGUUAAGGACACUUAACUUUGUAUAAUCUUACGCCAUUAGUUAGAAUAAUAAUCACACACACGAAGGAAUGUCUUUUUUUUCGCUUUUUCUUUUUUUAAUCCAUUAGCUUUGGAAUUGCAGACGGGAAGCGGGAUCUCGAAAUCGGCGCGACGUCGAUAGAUCAUUCCGACUUUCCGAUUUGCGGUUCCGCGACCGCGAAGACGGGUGUAGGAAGCGACGAGUCAUCGUCGAAUCGGGGUGUUUGUCCGAGAAACGAAUUUUCUUUCACGACUACCGUCCUUUUUUUCAUGCGAUAGCGCAGCGGCAACGGGAAAGAUUCGAAUCUUUUAUCAAUGAAACUUCCAUCGAUCAUUUCGCGCCCGGGCAAAAAAUGUCGACACAUAAGUCGAAGUUUUUAGCGUUACGUGCUCCGAAUACAUUAGCCUUUAAUCGGGUAAAGUGAUACAUGACUUCAAAUGUCGUAAAGAAUAGACUGAAAACGAAUAAAAUAACGAAUAAAAAAACUAGUUUUUAGGACUCUAAAGCCCGCUUUACACAAUCUACAAUUCGCGACAGAACUCUAUUUUAUAAUUUUAUGCCGAAAAACAUGUGGACAAACAAGACGCAUGAAAUAUGCGCAGUGUAUAAACAUCCUUAGACUUAAAACUGACAAAACUACAAUUUAAGCUACUUUGUAUCGUAACCAUGGCUUGAUUCCAUAUAGAAAAAAAUUAGUAUCAAAUGAACAAUGCAUUUGCUUACGUGAAGAAAUUUUGUUUCUUUACGUAAUGAAGGUAAUGAAUGAAAAAGUGGAAACAAAGUUUAAAGUCUCGUCUAUCGACCGCUAUUGACCAACUUCAUUACUCAACUAAAAUAAAAUUGCACGAAAGUUUAUUCAGGAAGGUCUCCCAGACCCCUUUGUGUGUUUAAGGAUUAAGUGGUGAAUUUUUUAAUAACCAUGUCGUAUUUUUUAAUAACUCAUGUCAAAGAAAGAGAGAAACAAUCGAAUAGAUAUUCUAUACAUAAUUUUUCUAUAUAGAAAAUUAAAAAAAUAAAAUUCUAUUUAUAAUUUUAUAAGAAAUAUAUGUAAACGUAUAAGAUAAAAGUUUAUCAUGGAAAGUUCUUUAAAAGUAACAUUAGUUUCAAUAAUAUCCACAAUGAUAAUUCUGUCUCUCAAAUUACAGAUCUUGUAAAGUGGGCUUAACGUACCACCAGAACAAACAUAAUAUUUACAUUACUUUCAAAAACAAGGAAUUUUGCGCGCAAAAGUCGAGAGAAAAUUCAUGCAUGUUCGCGCGGAGCGAGAACGAUAAUUGGAUGCAUUCAUGUCGAUCAGUCACGAUCGCAGAACAAUGGGCCGUUGACAUGACACCGGCCUUUGGCGGUUUCGGGCGCGAAUUCGCGUUACGUGCAUCGAAAGAAAGAGUCGAUAAUAGCUAACGAAUGAAAUAAUGCCAAUUAAACAUUCGGUAGUUAUCAACUCUUUUUUUUUCCCCCUCGUUUUUGCGACUCGCGAUUCGAUUAGGAGAAUUACUGUGACUGAGCUUUAUUCUCUCGUUUCCAGGGUGCAAAAAAUCAUCCUAGAUCACUGUUCUCGGAUUAAGAAGACUCAACCGAUUGAGAAUAUGAGAAUAUGAGAAUUCCUCGCAGAUUACGUAUGACUUUGCUCCGUAAGAUAAUUAAGGUUGCAUGAUACAGCGUCUGUUUUGCCUGGAAGCUACGCGAGCAAGUUGAUCUCUACGUUUGUCUCCCUGGGAUAUGUAAAAGAAAAUAUUGAAAAUGUACCGGGAUCGCAUAUUAUAGGAUUUGUGAUGCACAGAAACGAAGAAGAGCAUUAAUAAGAAAUGAAUUGCGGCUGAUCCGAUAAAAAAUUGAAUUUUUUAUCCUACACGUCUCACUAAAGCUAAUAACGGUGUGACCUAAGAGAGCACUAAUCCCCCUCUGCAUUAUAAAUGUGAUAGUCAUAUUUUUCUGAUCGGUGUCCCUGGAGACCUGGAGGUGGAAAUUUUUCUCAGAAAUUUUAUACAAAUUGAAAUACAUUUCAGAAGUGCUGAAAAAGUUUUACAUAUUUUCUUCGAAUUUUUCGUAUAUAUGAAUGCUGAAACAUCUUAAGAUUUCUUAUCUGAUAUAAUUUUUGUAAAUAAAUAAUUUACACUUUUUUCAGAUUUCAUAAGAUUUUAUAAGAAAUUAAGAAUGAGAAAUUUUAGAUUUGUGGAGAAAUUUUUAGAAGAGAAAAAUGCAAAGAUCUAUAGUAUUUUUUGGGGGAGAAAGGAGAGGAAGUAGAAUGCAUGAAGAAGGAAGAAUGUAAAAUUAUGAAAAAGAUGAAUUGUAUAAUAUAAAAGAAAAUAAGUAUAAAUAUAUGUAAUAGGAAAUUAAUAGAAGGAUAGAAAUAAGGAUAGAAAUAAGAUAAUAAUAGUAUGGAAACAAAAAUGGCUGUGGUGAAUGUGAUAAGUGUGAUAGCGUCGAUAAAAAUAUAAGAAGUAAAAAGGACAUGUAAAUCUAUGAUAAAGAUGAAUUAUUAUAUAAAGUAUAUAUAUUAAUAUGUAUUAAUAGUAAAGAUAGAGUCGUAAUAAAGUCGUAUAAAAGAGCA